rnacentral:lncRNA from 1 species
GCGCAGCGCUCUCAAGGCACAGCGCUCCCCCUCGCAGGGGCUCGCCGCUCUCGCGGAAACGAGCCUGCUGAGGAAGGGAGGCGGCGAACGUCGGGACCUUCCUCUCUGAUUGGUCUCCGCCGCUCGCUCUCUCCCCCCCCCCCGGCUCCGAGCGAGGGGAGGCGGCGAUUGGCUGCCCGGGCCUGUCAAUCGGAAAGGCCAAGUUCCAUUGCGGGAUCGCCUCGCUCCGCGAGCCGGGCUUGGCUGCUGCUGCCGCGGCGGCUGCGGGGAGCUGGCCGGCUGCUGCUGAUGGAGAAGUGAUGCUGGCUGCCGGGACCCGGGCGGCAGCAGCGGCAGGACCAGGACCAGCCGUGGGAGCCCAGCUGAACCCUCCGUGCCGCCAGCCAGGCGAAGACAGCAAAGCCAGCUGUGGGGAAACUUUCCACACAACAUUGUUGACAAGCUGUAACAGCGACGGAGAACAACAGCACAGAGGUUGGCAGGGGAGGUGUGAUGGUUCUCAGAAUGCCCUAGACUGUUUAUCAAUAUGCAACCAGCAGUUGUUCGAUAUGAGGUGGAGAAGGCGAGAUGAAAAAUGGCACAGAAUGAAGAAUUAUGAAAUUAUGGGCAUGGCACAGCUAAGCAAAGAAGAGCAAUUAAUGAAGAGAGAAAAACGGAACAUUGUCUAAGUCAGGUAAGCAAUUUAGACCAUUACCUAACAAUGUGUAAGGUGACUGAAGCUUAUUCGGAUUAUGCAAGGAUUACAGGUGCGUGCAUGCACACACACAGACAAAUGCUGGGACUUCCUUCCUGAGCAAUAUUUUCUCUGCAUUAAGUACAAACAUACUUUCUUCUGAUAUUAAACAUGCAUUUGACUUGCUUUGAAGCAUGAAUAACCCCAACUCCAGCACCUAGGUGCACUAUGGUAUGCCUCUUCCCACGCCUUCCCGCCCCUUUCCACUCCCUU